rnacentral:rRNA from 1 species
UACGAGGGGGGCGAGCGUUGUUCGGAAUUAUUGGGCGUAAAGGGUGCGUAGGCGGUUCGUUAAGUUUUAUGUGAAAUCUUCGGGCUUAACUCGAAGCCUGCAUAAAAUACUGCCGGGCUUGAGUAUGGGAGAGGUGAGUGGAAUUUCCGGUGUAGCGGUGAAAUGCGUAGAUAUCGGAAGGAACACCUGUGGCGAAAGCGGCUCACUGGACCAUAACUGACGCUGAGGCACGAAAGCUAGGGGAGCAAACAGG